GUUUCUAUUUGGGAGAGAUGUGUAGAGAGGAAAAGACUUUGGAAGCUACAGACAUGUAGGGGAAACCGAGUCCUCAACAGUUCCCUGAAUUUCAGCUUGCCUCCUUAAAGACUGCAGCCAGAGAAUUUCUCCUUGUGCAAUUGGGAUUAAGUGACUUGCCCAGGAUCACCCAGCUAGUGAGGAAGCUGAAACCCAGACAAGUCAGGAGAUCACGGAUCCAGAGCUAGAAGGAAACUCAGAGGUCAUCGAGGGCAGCCCCUUCAUUUUACAUGUGAGGAAACCGAGGUCCGGGGAGGAUAAAUAAGAUCACACUGGUGAGGAAACUGAGACUCAGAAAGAUGAUGUAACUUCCCUAGGCUUGCAUAGAUAAUAAAUGCUGGAGUCUGGAUUUGAAUACAUGUUUUCAGACUCUAAGUGCAGGCUCUUUUUACUACCCCCUAUUGGUUUUCUUCUGCUCUCAGCCUUCAAGACCUAGUCUAUCAGUCUCUCCUGAAUGUCUUCCCUGAUAUGAUUCUUUUUCUGAAAGUGGGAGAGUGCAGUAGGAUGUGUGUGUGUUUGCGUGUGUGUGCAUGUGUGUGUGUGUGUGUUGUGUGUGUGUG